rnacentral:rRNA from 1 species
GACGAACGCUGGCGGCGUGCUUAACACAUGCAAGUCGAACGGAAAGGCUCCAGCUUGCUGGAGUACUCGAGUGGCGAACGGGUGAGUAACACGUGGGUAAUCUGCCCUGCACUCUGGGAUAAGCCUGGGAAACUGCGUCUAAUACUGGAUAUGACCUUUCUCCUUAUGGGGUUUGGUGGAAAGUUUUGCGGUGUAGGAUGAGCCCGCGGCCUAUCAGCUUGUUGGUGGGGUGAUGGCCUACCAAGGCGACGACGGGUAGCCGGCCUGAGAGGGUGAUCGGCCACAUUGGGACUGAGAUACGGCCCAGACUCCUACGUGAGGCAGCGGUGGGGAAUAUUGCACAAUGGGCGGAAGCCUGAUGCAGCGACGCCGCGUGAGGGAUGACGGCCUUCGGGUUGUAAACCUCUUUCAGCAGGAACGAAGCGUAAGUGACGGUACCUGCAGAAGAAGCACCGGCUAACUAUGUG